AUUGAACGCUGGCGGCAUGCCUUACACAUGCAAGUCGAACGGCAGCACGGGAGCAAUCCUGGUGGCGAGUGGCGAACGGGUGAGUAAUAUAUCGGAACGUGCCCAGUCGUGGGGGAUAACGUAGCGAAAGCUACGCUAAUACCGCAUACGAUCUAUGGAUGAAAGCGGGGGAUCGCAAGACCUCGCGCGAUUGGAGCGGCCGAUAUCAGAUUAGGUAGUUGGUGAGGUAAAGGCUCACCAAGCCGACGAUCUGUAGCUGGUCUGAGAGGACGACCAGCCACACUGGGACUGAGACACGGCCCAGACUCCUACGGGAGGCAGCAGUGGGGGAAUUUUUGGACAAUGGACGCAAGUCUGAUCCAGCCAUUCCGCGUGCAGGAUGAAGGCCCUCGGGUUGUAAACUGCUUUUGUACGGUAACGAAAAGGUUUACUAUUAAUACUAGGAGCUCAUGACGGUACC
rnacentral:rRNA from 1 species